UGAGCGAGUCGGGUGAUCGCGUCGAGAAAUCGACGAGGAAAGUCCGGGCUCCACAGGGCAGGAUGGUUGCCAGCGGCAACCGGUCCAUUAUUUGGGCCAGGGAAAGUGCCACAGAAAAGAAAACCCUUGAUUUCAUAAGGGAAGAGUGCGAGGUAUGUAUUAUUAGCCUGACGCUUGGAACUCAGUGAGUCAAGGAAAGCUGAAACGGUGGUGUAAGAGACCACCAGCUCCGUCGUGAGGCGGAGGCUUGGUAAACCCCAUCCGGAGCAAGGCCGAAUAGGGGAGGGCUGAAGCUGCCCGCUGACCUCCCGGGUGUCGCCGCUUGAGGCGCAUGGCAACAUGCGUCCUAGAUAGAUGAUCACCCAUACUGCAUUUGCAGUAGGACAGAACCCGGCUUAUAGACUCGCUCAUUUA
rnacentral:RNase_P_RNA from 1 species